GCCGAUGUGGUGAAAUUGGUAGACACGCCAGCUUGAGGGGCUGGUUGGCGCAAGCCAGUAGCAGUUCGACUCUGCUCAUCGGCACCA
rnacentral:tRNA from 4 species